rnacentral:rRNA from 1 species
CCCUUAGAUGUCCGGGGCUGCACGCGCGCUACACUGAAGGAAUCAGCGUUCUAAAACCAUUGUCGAAAGGCAUUGGUAAACCCAUUAAAAUCCUACGUGAUUGGGAUCGGGAAUUGCAAUUAUUUCCCUUGAACGAGGAAUUCCCAGUAAGUGUGGGUCAUAAGCUCGCGUUGAUUACGUCCCUGCCCUUUGUACACACCGCCCGUCGCUGCCCGGGACUGAGCCGUUUCGAGAAAAGCGGGGACUGCUGCUGUCGGGGCUUUCGGGCCUUGGCUUCGGUGGAAACCGCUUUAAUCGCAGUGGCUUGAACCGGGCAAAAGUCGUAACA